rnacentral:misc_RNA from 1 species
UCAAACAGCGGGCCCUUCGGGCCUUGCUGCACCCUUGUCUUUUGUGUACCGUAUGUUUUCCUCGGCGGGGCUUGCCUGCCGGUUUGGACAUUCUCAAAAACCUUUUUGUAGUUUGCAAUCAGCGUCAGAAAAACAAAUAAUUAUUA